GACGAACGCUGGCGGCGUGCUUAACACAUGCAAGUCGAACGGUAAGGCCCUUCGGGGUACACGAGUGGCUAACGGGGGAGUAACCCGGGGGUGAUCUGCCAUGCACUCCGGGAUAAGGCGGGGGAACUGGGUCUAAUACCGGAUAGGACCACUGCCAACACGGCGGGCGGGGGAGAGCGUUUGCGGUGUGGGAUGGGCCCGCGGCCUAUCAGAUUGGUGGUGGGGUGAUGUACUACCAAGGCGACGACGGGUAGCCGGCCUGAGAGGGUGACCGGCCACACUGGGACUGAGAUACGGCCCAGACUCCUACGGGAGGCAGCAGUGGGGUAUAUUGCACAAUGGGCUCAAGCCUGAUGCAGCGACGCCGCGUGGGGGAUGACGGCCUUCGGGUUGUAAACCUCGUUCAGCACCGACGAAGCGCAAGUGACGGUAGGUGCAGAAGAAGGACCGGCCAACUACGUGCCAGCCGCCGCAGUAA
rnacentral:rRNA from 1 species